GAUUGCCUCAGUAACGGCGAGUGAAGCGGCAAAAGCUCAAAUUUGAAAUCUAGCACCUUCGGUGUUCGAGUUGUAAUUUGAAGAUGGUAACCUUGGGUUUGGCUCUUGUCUAUGUUCCUUGGAACAGGACGUCAUAGAGGGUGAGAAUCCCGUCUGAUGAGAUGCCCAUUCCUAUGUAAGGUGCUAUCGAAGAGUCGAGUUGUUUGGGAAUGCAGCUCUAAGUGGGUGGUAAAUUCCAUCUAAAGCUAAAUAUUGGCGAGAGACCGAUAGCGAACAAGUACAGUGAUGGAAAGAUGAAAAGAACUUUGAAAAGAGAGUGAAAAAGUACGUGAAAUUGUUG
rnacentral:rRNA from 1 species